GAGCUGCUCUUGUGGAUCACAGGCACACAACCUACAGGUGAAGCAUAUGCUCUUCUAUGUACACUUGCAUUGGAUUGCCAAUCUCCACUUUCAUUCGGUAUUUCACGUUAUUGUCAAAUGUUUCUUUUAACUUGUACACACAAGUUCUUGGAAAAAAAUUUCUAGUAUGUAAUAAAAGGCAAUUUGAGUUCUUGAAACUGAAUCUUUUGGUGUAUUCAGCAGGAAAUACUCAAGUAAAAGGUGAAGAUUAUGUACAUUUAACUGAACCUACCUUCUUUCCUGCUACAAUAGACUGGUAAUACAAAGCUAGCUCAUUGCUUAGAUCAGCUUUCUUACCAUUAGGAUGCUUAUCAUAGUCAAUUGCUGAAGUUUAUACAAAGUACAUCCUUAAAGACAACAUACCGAAUUAAGAGCUGUAUUCAUUUUAUAUAGGAGUAAUCUUUUUAAGGUCGCAACCUUAAACAGCAGGUGACUCAUGAAAUGCAAGUUAACUGAUGCGGUAUCAGCAUUACAUAGCAUAUUAGAGAAAAGAAGAAGUAACAAGCCUUAGUUUGGUUGCAGUAUAAUGCUGACAUUUCUUCCAUCUAUGCUAUGAUAACAAGACCUCAGUAACAAGAAAAGUCUGACAGUGAAAAAUGUUCAUAUAGUCUAAUGAUAGCAAAUGUCACAUGCAGGAACUUAAACAUAUGCAUUUUAUCUUGUGAUUCAGUGCAGUUACUUUUUUUGAAGCAUAACCAGCAAUAAACUGUUAGCAGUGUUGUUUUGAGUGGGAAAACUUGGUGAGAUGAAUGACACUUUCUUAUACAAAAUCAUUUAUACAGAAGUCAAUUUGAUGUUAAUUUUCAUACUGUUUCCAUAUAGCUUCUUGUUCACAGCUUGUUCUUACAGUUGUCCAGUAGAAAAGCAAUGUAUUUAAGUUCAACUGUCAUCUGCUCUGAUGGGGAAGAAGUGCCAUAGGGAAAUGCUGAGGGGGAAAGAGGCUGGAACAUAGACGUCCCUACACCACCUCUUGAGAUUGUUUAGGGAUUUGUCCUUAAUUUUGUUUUUAUUUCAGACAUAAAUAGCUGUAGCCCAGCAUGCAGUGGCCAAGUCUUCUCACCUAGGUAAGGACCAGCAAACUUACUUCAUAGUGGGUUGGUACUGUCUGUCCCUGUACACUCUAUUCUGUACUCUCAUAAUGCUUCUAGGUCAAGACGAGCUGUUCUGACCCUCAAUACUUCUAUUAAAUGUCAGCUCCCUGCUGUUCAGUUCUGGUCAUUUUGUCAGCUCUUACCACUAUGAGCUCUCUUUACCCUGGAGAGUUAGCUCUAGAGAAUUUGCUGAAACCUCAGAAGUUCUUUACUGCAUUUACAGUUCCUUUUUCUGUGCUAAUGGAGAAGCUUCAUGUGCAGAAAUGAGAAAUUCCUUGGGGUUUUGAAGUUAAGAACUUUAGCUGUCCAGUUAAUUACCUUUAGAAGUCACGAUCCUGUGUUUACCUCUACUUGACAGCAUAGAAAAAUGUUCAACAGAAUGUUGUUAGGUUUGGGAAAUCCAUAGGGAACAAUUCAGAUCGGUUUCAGUACUCAAAUCAACUGAAGAGUUUGCUAGCUUAGUAUAAACAUUAUGCUUACAAAAUAAUUUAUUGUAACAAUAUGAUGAAAAUAAAGGUAUCUUUCUCUAAUCUGUUGGUGAAAUGUGAAGCGAGGCACUGCAAGUGCUUUAAUAACUAGUUGAAUCACACAUUUAAGGAAGCAGGUGGUGGUGCUGGGGCUGAGUCUUGCUGGGGCUAAGGGCGAAAUAUGAUUGUUUGAUAUAGUAAAACACUAAGCCAAAUGUAUAUAGAUCUUGGGGGUGGACAGGGACACAGAAUCGUCUAAGUUACACAUUCUUUUUAAUUAAACUCUUAACUGUCCUUUAGUGCUGACCUGAUUUCAGUGAAGGUCCCAUCCAACUUAAACUGUAUCUAUUGUGAAAUUCAUAAAGAUGGGAAGUCAUCUACCGGUGUCUCAUGAGGUGAUGCCUUUAGCUCAUAGAAUCUUAGACUCUCCAUCACAGAGCUGGAUGAAGUAACGUGACAUUUAGUCUGUUUCAGCUUGAAGUUCACAUUCUCUUUUUGUAUUGAAGCCAUUAGUAAAACUCGCAUAGACUUUGAGUUAAGCCUUCAGCUCUAAUGUUUUGAAGGUAAGAUUAUGCUCAGCAGUCUUGAAAAACUUCCCCUGACAUAGCUUGGCAUUCUUAGAUUUCUAAGUGUGGUUCAGGAAAAGCCAGCUUAACUGGUAGUUUUGUCUGCAACUUUCUGUUGACUUUUCUGGUUCACUGGCACAUGCCAAGGAAAGGGUCACAACUGCAGUUAGUAGAAACACUGGUGUGUCAGUAAACUUAAACCAGCUGAGUAUGGGCACAUCCUUGGGUUGGGUCAUUGCUGAUUUGAGGAAGCUCCAAAAUAACAAUAUGAAAACAGACAUAUUUUUUUUCCCCCGUUUAUAUGAACCAUCCAUAUCUAGUCAAUAUUUGCAUUGAAUAUUUUUUCUUAAGGCUUGCUUAUGUGGUCAGGUUUGUGAAGCUGCUGAGUUAAUGUUUAUGCUUGUAAAUACUACUGAGCAUACAGAUAGGAACACUUCUGCCUUCAGGCACAGAAAUAACACUGACAAUGAGUAUUUAGGCUUACCAACUCUGAUGCUUUUACAUACAACAGAUGUAGACUAGUUAAACUCCAAAUAAAGCUCUUCACCAUUGCUGAAACAUUAUUUUUGGCAAUGGUAAAUUAUAAAAUGUAAUGGAAAUCAUAAAGUUAGAGAAAAGAAGGUAUUAGUGGUGUUAUCCGCUGCAUCUCAAGGAAUACAGAAUAGGCAGGAGUUGUAUGAGACUAGCUGUAUUUAGCCAGAUGCUGUUGAAAGGCCCCAUUUGAUUUGGUGCCCCAGUUCCUUUACUGUAAAUUCCUGCAGCUCAUGAAGACUCGGUGUAGUUUUACGUAGACAUAACCAUGCCACCUUUAGCUAGUGUUAACAAUUUUAAUACCGAGGACAUGAUAAUACGGACUUCUCCAUGUAAUGUAUUAAUUCCAAGUGCAUAUUGCCAUUAAGCCUGUAUUAUAAUUUAGAUGUGCCAGCUAUAAUAAAGCUAGCGUGAUUACUUCUGUCCAUGCUAUAACUGCACUUCCUUUCUGUGGAAGAAACACAGAAAAUUAGAUGACUGCUUUCCUAUAGAUUUCGAAACUACCUUGAAAUGCUCUUUGUGACACUUGUCUUUUUCAGUCUUGGGAAAUUAAAGAACAUGUAGAAGUUUCUGCAGAAAUGUCAUGAUUUGACACAAUGUUUUUCUUGUCUUGCAGUAUGUCUAUAUGGAACAUAAUAUUAUUUCUAAAAAAGCCCCACCUUACCCUUUGACUCUGUAAGAGAAUGCUGUACUUAGUUAUAUAUGCUGCAGUCACCUCUUUAACAAACUCUUUCAUCAGUAGCAAACCUAAGCUGUAGAAAUUUCACUGGAAAGAUUGAAUAAAUACCAGGAAAAGAAUUAUUUCUAAACCAAGUGAUGCAACAUUUUGGUUUUUUCCUAUGGUCUCCUGUGCACUGCAAUAGGAACAGGUCAGGGCCAUCUUGUAGUCACAGGACUUGGUGGUGGCUGAAUGUGUCUUAGGGUCCUUUUAAACUUCUGGAGCAGUAUUGCAAUACUUGAUGCUUGUCCUAAAUCUUUUUCUAUCAAAUGUCUAUUCAGUCCAACUUCCUACCCCCAGAUACAGCCAUGAGGAGGAACAGGACACUGCAGUGCAGGCUUACACCAGCCAGCUCCAUCAUUUAUUGAAAUUUUUGAUAGUUAAGUACCGACAUGUAUCAGCUCCGCAAGCAGAGAGCUGGGAGAAACAACUGCCCCUGUACAUGAAGCGUCAGCUGGAGCUUCCAAAGGGUUGAGGAAGCUGAUGACCGAUACUAUUCCUUUGAAAACUCACAGACCAAAUGUAGUUUAAUCUAUGCUGAGUUUACCUUUGGUUUUCUUUCCUAUUUUUUUUCUCUUUAAGAGGAAAGCUACUGUUACAUUUUCCUGUGUAUUUUAAGAGAAAAAAUUCAGUUUGGUUUUGAAUUUAACUGUGUCUUCAGCUUUCCCAGCUUUUCAGCAUGUUACCUUUUCAGCAUUUUAUGCCUAUUUCUAAUGAGACUUCAUUUUCUCUUCCAUAUUUUGGUGCCAGGGCAUCAACUGGUCUCUUAAUUGUAGGGCUUUUGUUAUUGUAGAUCAGCCAGAGCCAAAAGGGGCUGGUUUAUUAAUUACUGGUUUUGUUUACAUUUGAAUUCUAGUGAAGUCCUUCAAAGUUUGAAACAGGUUCUAUGUGAGGUAACUAACAAUAUUUUGGGGUUUUUGGCCAAUUGCACCGCUGGCAGACCUUACAAUUGAGUUGUAAUUGCUAUAGGAAAAAAAUAUUGCUGUGGAAACAAAAUCCUCCUUUUGCUUAGAAGAUAGUAGCUUGGAAGUUGCAGAUAGAUACAGUGAACCAGUGAACCUGCUUCUGAAUGUUUAGAAUAUUUACAAGUCAACAUUUGCAUUUCUAUCAUGAAUAGUUGCAAUAAUUACGUGUCUGCAUUUCCUGUAUUUCUGGAUUUCUUACAUGUUCUCUCUUUAAGGCUGUGGAGCAAAAAAACCUUUUGAGAACCCAUUUAAAAAGUGACCAUAGGUACAAUGAUUUCAAAAGAUGAAGCUGUGCUAGUAUGUGUUUCUUCACUGGUAUUUUGAUAACUCUUGAAAUCACUAGUGCUGUUAUGUUCUGUUACAGAGUGUGACAGGGCACACAAUUACACCAUAGACCUUCAUUAAAUAAGCAGGCCUCUGGUUUUGAUACAGUUUGUCCUUGCAAAAAGGAAACAGUUAAUACUCCCCUCACAUUGCUGUUGGACAAAUUAAGUCACUUGUGCAUGGUUUGAGGUUUUUUCCCUGUAUUUCUGCAGUCUGUAAUCACUGUUUACAGGUCAGGCCUCAAAAAAAUUGAUAGUGGCACUUCAAAGUCACAGAAUGUUAAUACAGCAACUUUCUUUAUAAGGGAAUGAACAAUACUGUCAUCAGUUCCCCCACAAUAAGCUUAUAGAGCUUUAAGUGACAGUUUUGGUAUAUCUUUCAUACUAUAGCUUUCAGUGAAGGAAGUUUUUAUCAAAGUUUUCAUAAAUAAUUUUUGAUUAUCCUUUUAUCUGGUAAGUAGAUGCAUAGCUAUUAUUUGUACAACAUUUGAUAAUCACUUUUUACAUAUUCAUGUAAGCUUAUUAAAGAAACUACGGCCAAAACUGAUGAAACAGAAUCAUAGAAUGGUUAGUGUCAGAAAAGGCCUUAAAAUCUUGUUCUAACCCCUGCCAUGGGCAAGGAUGCCUCACACUAGACCAGAUUGCUCAAGGCCUUGUCCAGCCUGGCCUUGAACACUGCCAGGCCUGUUCCAGCGCCUCACUGCUCUCACAGUAAAGAAUUUCUUCCUUGUAUCUAACCUAAAUCUCCCCUGUUUUAGUUUAAACCCAUUGCCCCUUGUCUUGUCACUACAGUCCCUAAUGAAGAGUCCCUCUCCAGCAUCCUUGCAGACCCCCUUCAGAUACUGGAAGGCUGCUCUGAGGUCUCCACGCAGCUUCUCUUCUCCAGGCUGAACAGCCCCAACUUUCUCAGCUCGUCUCCAUAUGGGAGGUGCUCCAGGCCCUGAUCAUCCUCAUGGCCUCCUCUGGACUUGCUCCAACAGCUCCAUGUCCUUUUUAUGCUGAGGACACCAGAACUGUAUGCAGUACUUAGAGUGAGGUCCCACAAGAGCAGAUAGACAUAUAAAAAUUAAUCCUAUGGAAGUUGCCCCUAAUUGUCCAGUGUUAAGUCAAUUUAAUUUAUUACGUUAACUGUCUUGACUGGCUUUUUAUAUAUAUAUAUAAAAUUUGAAUCUAAAAAGAUCUGUGUAUUUUAGGGAAGUUCUUAAAGACACACAGAUUAGUAACAUCUUCAAGAGGCCAUGCUUAGACCCACCAGAAUUGUGCAACCAGCAGUUUAGUUGUGAGCCUGUUAGUUGCCUAAUUUUUACUUUGGUCUCUAUAGCUAGUAUUAAAAGGAAAUCCAAAAAUCAAAGCUAAUACAAGCUACUGGAGAUUUACCAAGAGAGAGAAGAAGUUACACUUUUAAAAAGCAUAGUUUAGAAGUGCAUGACCCCAUUCAUUCUGGUCCUGCACUAUCAGUUGUACCAACGUAUGUGCCUGAAAUCCUUUUCAUCAUGAUGUUGCACCAUUAUCCCAUGUUGUAAUGGCAUCUAGUUCAACUACUGAAUGUUUUGCAUUUUAAAAGCCUUAACUGUUUAUAUUGUAUUAAUAUGUUUUUAAAGACUAUAAGGAAACAACAUUUUCCUUGUAAGUUGUUAAAACAAUUUUGAACACUUAAAUAAUUUUCAGAGAAGUCUAGAGCUGUAUCUUAAUACUCCUUGUUGUUUGUGUACCACAGAAGAAAACACUGUUACAUUCUCUUCUCUUUUAAAGUGUCUCCAGUUACCAGCCUCUCUAUAGUUUAAGGUAUUUAACCUACUGAGAUUUAUUUUGGUUAACAGUCUUCUGAAAUUUGUUAUAUGUAAAUAAAUUUAAGUGAGCAAACUUAAAUAAACUUUUCAUUUAGGUA
ensembl:lncRNA